rnacentral:rRNA from 1 species
GAUGAACGCUGGCGGCGUGCCUAAUACAUGCAAGUCGAGCGAACGGACGAGAAGCUUGCUUCUCUGAUGUUAGCGGCGGACGGGUGAGUAACCCGUGGAUAACCUACCUAUAAGACUGGGAUAACUUCGGGAAACCGGAGCUAAUACCGGAUAAUAUUUUGAACCGCAUGGUUCAAAAGUGAAAGACGGUCUUGCUGUCACUUAUAGAUGGAUCCGCGCUGCAUUAGCUAGUUGGUAAGGUAACGGCUUACCAAGGCAACGAUGCAUAGCCGACCUGAGAGGGUGGUCGGCCACCCUGGAACUGAGACACGGUCCAGACUCCGACAGGGAGCAGCAGUAGGGAAUCUUCCGCGAUGGACGAAAGCCUGACGGAGCAACGCCGCGUGAGUGAUGAAGGACUUCGGAUCGUAAAACGCUGUUAGUAGGGAAGAACAAAUGUGUAAGUAACUGUGCAGAUCUUGACGGUACCUAAUCAAGAAGCCACGGCUAACUACGUG